CCCCCCCCCCCAUGAAGACCUUCAAGUAGUUCAGCCUACUGCUGAAUCUGGACGUCCCGAUUCCCCCCUCCUAUUGGCUUCUUGUGGUUCAGCCCAGUGCUUCUCGACCUAGUACAUUCUGGUUCCCCGCUCGCAGACUUCCGACGUGGAUGGUGUCCCCCAUGGUCGCUGAGACUCCCCUUCGAGGAUUGCACCCGCCCGUCCUAAGCCUCCCCACAAGGCGAGGGGAGUUACCCCUAAAACAAAGCUAUUAAAGGGACAGAAUACUUCCUGUU
rnacentral:lncRNA from 1 species